AUGGAGGCGGCAACCAUCGCCACACAACUAGGGCCGCCCGCCCUGGCCGUCGCACAUGAUCUCCCCACAGGCGUUGCCCUAGCCGCACCAUGGGGUCACCGCCGUGAACCACCCACCCAGGCACCUUCAGCGCCUGGCCCGCCGCCACCGUGGCCAACACCGGCGACAACGACAGUAGGGGAAACGCCUAGGUUGGAUGUCUACAUAUAUGACUAUUUCGUGAAGAGAAAUUUGCAGGAAACUGCAAAAGCCUUCCAAACGGAAGGGAAGGUCUCACCAGAUCCAGUUGCAAUUGAUGCUCCUGGUGGCUUCCUUUUUGAAUGGUGGUCGGUAUUUUGGGAUAUAUUCAUAGCAAGAACAAAUGAGAAGCAUUCAGAUAUUGCAGCAUCAUAUAUUCAGACUCAGUUAGUGAAAGCAAGGGAACAUCAACAUGAGCAUCAGCAACAACAGCAAUCUCAGCAGCAAACUCAGCAGCAGCAGCAGCAACAACAGCACCACCAACAGCAGCAGCAGCAGCAACAACAACAACAACACCAACAACAGCAACACCACCACCACCACCACCACCAACAAUCUCAGCAGCAGCAACAAUCUCAACAGCAUCAACAAAUACAAAUGCAGCAAAUGUUGUUACAGAGAGCUGCACAGCAGCAGCAGCAGCAGCGUAGAGAUGGUUCUAAUCUUCUUAAUGGCACUGCAAGUGGGCUUUCUGGAAUUGAUCCUUUAAUGCGACAAAACCCAGCAACUGCGAAUGCUAUGGCAGCAAAAAUGUAUGAGGAGAGGUUAAAGCUCCCUUCUCAAAGGGAUUCUCUGGAUGAGGCAUCGGUGAAGGUGCAGCAAAGGUAUGGGGAAAAUGCUGGCCAAGCACUUGAUCCAAACCAAACGUCGUUGAAAGCAGCCGCAGGCGGACAAUCUUCAGGGCAAAUUUUGCAUGGAGCUGUUGGUGGAUUGUCAGGUGCUCUGCAACAGGUUCAGGCAAGAAGCCCACAAAUGCCUAUGCAAGAACAGAGUAUCAAAACUGAGAUCAAUCCAGUUUUGACACCCAGAAGUGCAGGUCCCGAGGGAUCAUUCAUUGGUGUCCAAGGAUCUAGUCAAGGUGGAAGCAAUUUGACUCUGAAAGGUUGGCCACUCACGGGCCUCGACCAGCUUCGCUCUGGUAUCCUGCAGCCGAAGUCAUUUAUGCAAUCUCCACAACAACAAUUUCAACAGCUCCAAUUUCUGAAUCCACAACAGCAACAUCAGCUUUUGAUGCAAGCGCAGCAAAACAUGGCUUCCCCUACAGUUAGUGAUGUUGAUACCAGAAGAUUAAGGAUGCUUCUUAACAAUAGAAAUAUGGCCAUGGGGCAGGAUGGGCAGACAAACAGUGGUGGGGAUAUUAUUCCAAAUAUUGGUUCUCCUAGCCAAAGUGGUGGAUCACGUACAGAUAUAGACAUGCUAAUAAAGAAGAAAAUUGCUCAUUUACAACAGCAACAACAGCUUCAGCAAUCUACAGUCUCCAGUCAGCAAUCUCAGAGCUCAAAUCAGCUUCUCCAGCAACAGGAAAAGCCUGGAGUUGGAUGCAUGCCUAUUGAUGGAAGCAUACCAAACUCUUUUGUAGUAGCUGACCAAGCAUCAAAGAAGAGAAAGAAACCUGUCUCCUCUAGUAGAGCUAAUAGUUCAGGAACAGCAAAUACUGCUGGGCCAUCUCCAAGUUCUGCACCUUCGACGCCUUCCACUCACACACCAGGAGAUGCAAUGUCCAUGCCACAGCUGCUGCAUAAUGGUGGUCCAUCAAAACCAUUGAUGAUGUUUGGUUCUGAUGGCACUGGAAGCUUGACCUCUCCAGUAAACCCACUGGGUGAUGUGGACCGUUUGCUGGAAGAUGGCUCCUUGGAUGAAAAUGUAGACUCAUUUUUAUCACAGGAGGACAUGGAUCCUCGGGAAACCAUGGGAUGCUGCGUUGAUGCCAGUAAAGGGUCUGGUUUCUCCGAGGUUGCAAAAGCCCGUGCGAGUACAGGCAAAGUUAGCUGUUGCCAUUUCUCGUCAGACGGAAAACUGCUCGCCACCGGAGGCCACGAUAAAAAGGCUGUUUUAUGGUUUACAGAUGCCCUAAACCCCAAAUCUACAUUAGAAGAGCACUCGAUGCUUAUUACAGAUGUUCGAUUUAGCCCAAGCAUGACCCGCCUUGCAACAUCUUCCUUUGACAAAACUGUGCGGGUUUGGGAUGCUGACAAUCCAGAUUAUUCACUCCGCACUUUCACGGGUCAUUCAGCGUCUGUUAAGUCGCUUGAUUUUCAUUCAAAUAAAGAAGACAUCGUUUGCUCCUGUGAUAGUGAUGGGGAAGUGCGCUGCUGGAGCAUAAACAAUGGUAGCUGUGUGACGUGCGUUAGGGUCUUCAGCGGAGGUGCAACUCAGUUGAGAUAUCAACCUCGUCAAGGGAAAUAUCUUGCAGCUGCCUCUGAGAAGAUGAUAUCAAUAUUGGAUGCAGAAACACUACAAGUGUGUAGGAAUGCCUUAAAGGGACACAUAAAGAACAUCGAGUCGAUUUGUUGGGAUGCUGCGGGUGACUAUCUGGCCUCUGUAAGUGAAGAUUCUGUCAAGGUGUGGUCAUUUACUUCAGGAAAUGAUGGCGAGUGUGUGAAUGAGUUGAAUUGCAGUGGAAAUAAGUUCAAUUCAUGUGUUUUUCACCCGAAUUAUCCGUCAUUGCUUGUAAUUGGUUGUUACGAGUCCUUGGAACUUUGGGACAUAAGGGAGAAGAAUACGGUGACCAUCAGCAACGCCCAUGACGGCUUAAUUGCAGCCCUAGCUGCAUCAAAUGCAUCAGGGUUGGUCGCUUCAGUAAGUCAUGAUAAGCUUGUCAAGCUCUGGAAGUGA
rnacentral:rRNA from 1 species